rnacentral:rRNA from 1 species
AUUGAACGCCGGCGGCAGGCCUAACACAUGCAAGUCGAACGGUAACAGGAAGCAGCUUGCUGCUUUGCUGACGAGUGGCGGACGGGUGAGUAAUGUCUGGGAAACUGCCCGAUGGAGGGGGAUAACUACUGGAAACGGUAGCUAAUACCGCAUAAUGUCGCAAGACCAAAGAGGGGGACCUUCGGGCCUCUUGCCAUCGGAUGUGCCCAGAUGGGAUUAGCUUGUUGGUGAGGUAACGGCUCACCAAGGCGACGAUCCCUAGCUGGUCUGAGAGGAUGACCAGCCACACUGGAACUGAGACACGGUCCAGACUCCUACGGGAGGCAGCAGUGGGGAAUAUUGCACAAUGGGCGCAAGCCUGAUGCAGCCAUGCCGCGUGUAUGAAGAAGGCCUUCGGGUUGUAAAGUACUUUCAGCGGGGAGGAAGGGGGUAAGGUUAAUAACCUUAGCCAUUGACGUUACCCGCAGAAGAAGCACCGGCUAACUCCGUGCCAGCAGCCGCGGUAAUACGGAGGGUGCAAGCGUUAAUCGGAAUUACUGGGCGUAAAGCGCACGCAGGCGGUCUGUCAAGUCGGAUGUGAAAUCCCCGGGCUCAACCUGGGAACUGCAUUCGAAACUGGCAGGCUUGAGUCUCGUAGAGGGGGGUAGAAUUCCAGGUGUAGCGGUGAAAUGCGUAGAGAUCUGGAGGAAUACCGGUGGCGAAGGCGGCCCCCUGGACGAAGACUGACGCUCAGGUGCGAAAGCGUGGGGAGCAAACAGGAUUAGAUACCCUGGUAGUCCACGCCGUAAACGAUGUCUAUUUGGAGGUUGUGCCCUUGAGGCGUGGCUUCCGGAGCUAACGCGUUAAAUAGACCGCCUGGGGAGUACGGCCGCAAGGUUAAAACUCAAAUGAAUUGACGGGGGCCCGCACAAGCGGUGGAGCAUGUGGUUUAAUUCGAUGCAACGCGAAGAACCUUACCUGGUCUUGACAUCCACAGAAUUUCUCAGAGAUGAGGAAGUGCCUUCGGGAACUGUGAGACAGGUGCUGCAUGGCUGUCGUCAGCUCGUGUUGUGAAAUGUUGGGUUAAGUCCCGCAACGAGCGCAACCCUUAUCCUUUGUUGCCAGCGAUUCGGUCGGGAACUCAAAGGAGACUGCCAGUGAUAAACUGGAGGAAGGUGGGGAUGACGUCAAGUCAUCAUGGCCCUUACGACCAGGGCUACACACGUGCUACAAUGGCAUAUACAAAGAGAAGCGACCUCGCGAGAGCAAGCGGACCUCAUAAAGUAUGUCGUAGUCCGGAUUGGAGUCUGCAACUCGACUCCAUGAAGUCGGAAUCGCUAGUAAUCGUGGAUCAGAAUGCCACGGUGAAUACGUUCCCGGGCCUUGUACACACCGCCCGUCACACCAUGGGAGUGGGUUGCAAAAGAAGUAGGUAGCUUAACCUUCGGGAGGGCGCUUACCACUUUGUGAUUCAUGACUGGGGUGA